rnacentral:rRNA from 1 species
GACGAACGCUGGCGGCGUGCUUAACACAUGCAAGUCGAACGGAAAGGCCCUGCUUUUGUGGGGUGCUCGAGUGGCGAACGGGUGAGUAACACGUGAGUAACCUGCCCUUGACUUUGGGAUAACUUCAGGAAACUGGGGCUAAUACCGGAUAGGAGCUCCUGCUGCAUGGUGGGGGUUGGAAAGUUUCGGCGGUUGGGGAUGGACUCGCGGCUUAUCAGCUUGUUGGUGGGGUAGUGGCUUACCAAGGCUUUGACGGGUAGCCGGCCUGAGAGGGUGACCGGCCACAUUGGGUCUGAGAUACGGCCCAGACUCCUACGGGAGGCAGCAGUGGGGAAUAUUGCACAAUGGGUGGAAGCCUGAUGCAGCAACGCCGCGUGCGGGAUGACGGCCUUCGGGUUGUAAACCGCUUUCGCCUGUGACGAAGCGUGAGUGACGGUAAUGGGUAAAGAAGCACCGGCUAACUACGUG